GCUUGCUUCGGCAGUACACAUAUACUAAAAUUGGAACAAUGCAGAGAAGGUUAGCACGGCCCCCCGCAAUGACCCACAAAUUCACGUAGCAUCUCAUGUUUAA